UACAUGGGGUGCAAACGUUGCUCGGAAUUAUUGGGCGUAAAGCGCACGUAGGUGGUCUGUUAUCUCGGAUGUGAAAGCCCUCGGCUCAACUGAGGAAGUGCAUCCGAAACUGGCAGGCUUGAGUAUGUAAGAGGGUCGCGGAAUUCCCGGUGUAGAGGUGAAAUUCGUAGAUAUCGGAAGGAACACCGGUGGCGAAGGCGGCGACCUGGGACAAUACUGACACUGAGGUGCGAAAGCGUGGGGAGCGAACAGG
rnacentral:rRNA from 1 species